CAAUAGCGUAUAUUAAAGUUGUUGCAGUUAAAAAGCUCGUAGUUGAAUUUCUGGCGGGCGCGCCGGUCUUCCAAGUGUUGUACUGGGCGCAGUCCGCCAUCCUUGUGGAGAGGGCUCGCAUUGAGUUGCGUGUCGGAUCUGCAUCAUUUACUGUGAAAAAAUUAGAGUGUUUAAAGCAGGCUGUCGCUUGAAUACAUUAGCAUGGAAUAAUAAGAUAGGACUUCGGUCUAUUUUGUUGGUUGCGAACCGAGGUAAUGAUUAAUAGGGAUAGUUGGGGGUAUUCAUAUUUAAUUGUCAGAGGUGAAAUUCUUGGAUUUAUAAAAGAUGAACAACUGCGAANGNAUUUACNAAGGAUGUUUNCAUUA
rnacentral:rRNA from 1 species